UACGGAGGGUGCAAGCGUUAAUCGGAAUUACUGGGCGUAAAGCGUGCGCAGGCGGUUUGUUAAGUCCGUUGUGAAAUCCCCGAGCUCAACUUGGGAAUUGCAAUGGAUACUGGCAAGCUGGAGUAUGGUGGAGGAAGGUGGAAUUCCCGGUGUAGCAGUGAAAUGCGUAGAGAUCGGGAGGAACACCAGUGGCGAAGGCGGCCUUCUGGACCAAUACUGACGCUCAUGCACGAAAGCGUGGGGAGCAAACAGG
rnacentral:rRNA from 1 species